UACGUAGGGUGCAAGCGUUGUCCGGAAUUAUUGGGCGUAAAGGGCUCGUAGGCGGUCUGUCGCGUCGGGAGUGAAAACUCAGGGCUUAACCCUGAGCCUGCUUCCGAUACGGGCAGACUAGAGGUAUGCAGGGGAGAACGGAAUUCCUGGUGUAGCGGUGAAAUGCGCAGAUAUCAGGAGGAACACCGGUGGCGAAGGCGGUUCUCUGGGCAUUAACUGACGCUGAGGAGCGAAAGCAUGGGGAGCGAACAGG
rnacentral:rRNA from 1 species